ACACACAAAAAAAAAUCAGCUUUACAGUCACAUAAAUAAAUUACAUUUUAAACUAUAUUAAAAUAGAAAACAGUUAUUUAAAAUUAUAAAAAUAUUUCACAAUUUUACUGUUUUUACUGCAUUUUUAUCGGAAACAAUUUCAGCCUUAGUGAACAUAUGAUAGAGACUUAUUUCAAAAACAUAAAAAAAAAAAAUCUUACCAAGCCCAAACUUUUGAACGGUAGUAUAUAUACUCAUUAUUGCGGUAAUUCUGACAUGAUAUGAAUGCAGCAUUAUAAAAUUCUUCUUUGCCCAGGUCUGAAACAGUCACUCCCGACAGUGCAUUUGUGCAUAUGUGAGGUCAUGGGCGUCCAACCAGUGCGGGUUGCCCCACGGCGAACGGACCGAGGGUGAACCCCCACCCCACCCCACCCCCCUGUACGCAAUCGCAACGAACUUCCCCUACCUCGUACUAGGCCCCGCCCCAUGCUUGGGACGGCCCUGUGUGAGGUCAUUGAUUUUACUGACAUCAAACUUAAAGUAUGUAAUUCAAACUUCUCAAUCAUUGUUUCAGAUGCUCAUGUUGCUGAUUGAGCUGUGGGGGUGAUGGAGGGUUUUAAUCUGAACUUUGAUGACAUUUUACUGUAGAGUUGAUGGUGGCACACUGUUUCUAUAGCAGAUAAAUAUGAAUGAAGACCCAUCCUCAACUUUUGUAGUAUGGCUAAUUAUUUCUACGCUCCCUUUUUCACUCUUAGCAAACCAGCAAUUCAAGUCUAAAGUAUAUACAUUGAUACAAAUACCAAAAUGAGUUAAAAACACAAUUUUAACAUGCAGUGCCUGUCAUUUAUCGCUUUGCUCUGGUUUCUUUUUUUCACCCGUGCGUUCUUUGUAAACCGUGAGCUGUUGUGUGGGGUUUCCGCUGACAUCAUCUCUGCAGCGUUGGCCUGGAUUGGUUUAUCAAGCGCUUUUUGUACAUUGUUGUCCAACCAAGGGGCCAGAUUUGCCAAAGCCUCUCAAAAACACAACCUCAAAGUGCCGCAACAUAUUACCAUUAACUAACGUUCGAGGUUAGUACAGUGUGACGAAGCUAAGAAUGUUAGCGCGUGCUAAGGGCUUUCUUAAAUCUGGCCCUAAGGUUAAAAUGGCUCAAACGGGGUAAACAGUACCUAUUAGUCAUGUCUCUGUUCAAAGGGGAGAAAAGCCAUUUGUGGGCUUUGCAAUUUAUGCAAUAUUUUGAUAAGUCUUUCACAAAUGAAUUGCCAAAACCACCCUGACAUACCGCCUACUCCCGAAUGUUUGAGACCCCCAAAACAGUCACGCAUCAAUAUUUCAGGGUGCCCUCUCCCCCAUUAGAACAAUUGUUUUGUUUUAUUCUGUUCAAUGAAUUAAGGUUUCAUUUCUACAAAUGUUUCUAUCGUUGUUGUUGUUGUUGUUUUGUUUGUUUUUAAGCAUGCUGUUUUCUCUUUGUUUGGACGCUUUGAGUUGAAAGGACGAAGGUUGAAAUGUUUUUCAGAGAGCAUUCUAAUGCAGUGUUAAAUUUCAAGGUUUUUGUUGGUUUUUCCUUCCUCUUUUUUUAAUCACAUUAUUCUUUACAAAUAUUACCAUAGUAGUUACUCAUUAAACGCUUGCUUGCUGCACAGAUAAACACACUUCACACCAGGAAGGGGCAUGUGGACGUUUAGUUCAGACACAUUCACAACUGGCAUGAUGACAUGUUCUUGCAUCCAUGUUCUUUUUGGAAAGCAUCGGAUUUUUGUUAUUUGUCUUCGUUUCUCUAAGAACCUCGCUAAAUUGUAAUGUAUCAGCAAAUGUCGGUAUGUCGGUUUUGAAACGAAUGAGAAAAGACUUUUUGUUUUUCUCAUGCACAACAAACUAAAUUUGCCAUGUGUUUUUGAACUGGUGUGAGGGGGAAAUUACAGCUUUAACAAUAUUUCAUUAUAACAUUGUAUUCAGCCAUCGCUGUUCGCAAAAAAAUCGCUCAUGAAUACAGUACUGGAAGUGAGUAUGUUUCCCUAUGCAAAAAAAUAAAAUUAAAAUUAAAUAAAAAAUAAACAAAGCUAUGCUACAACUCAGAAAUGAGGUGACUUUGUGUUUUUCUUUUCUAACCGAUUAGACGCACAGUCUGCUAAAGUUACUUGGCAGUCUUGAAUGUUUAUGUAGAUUGAUCUCGAUUAUCACUGCUGUGUGUGUUUUGGAGGUGUAAUAUGUGUGUGUUGGAUGUAUAUUCGCUGUUCAUUUGUAGAUCAUCGGACACAUGCCUUGUGCCUGAGGACAAGCUAAUUUUAGCUCAGCCGAAGCUCUUUCGCCAUCACCUUUACAGAGCCAGAGAAGGGAAAGAUGUUUCCAAGACGUGGCAUGACAUCUUAUACUCCGCUCUAAUGAUGCAUUAAAAGAGUCUUGUGACAAGUAACGUUUUGGGUAUUACAUUUUGGUGAAAGACUUGUCGCUAAUUAGUAAGCACUCGUGUUCCAUUUCAAAUAGCCUGAAGUGUUUUAAAAAUAAUAAUAAGAGUCAAACGUGACUGAAGCAAAAUUAGCAAACACACAUCAGCGUACUCUACUUGCAUUAGCCGUAUGUUUCAUGCUAAAUCUUAUUUAAUAGACUUUGUCAUUGUAAUCGGCCCUCGGUGGCGGUUACGCAGGAAGAGAAUGACUCAUUUCAAUGCAGAACAAACUUUGGAUCACCAAACAUUUUAAAUGACACUUUUAAUUCUGUGAGCACGAGCUGCAUAGAACAGGAGAAAUGGAAGAAAGAGAAUGAAAGAGCGAGCUGAACGCUUGCGGUUAGAGGUUUGUUUUCGGUUCAACUUGGCUGAGGAGCGUAACACACCUGACUCUAAUCAUCCCUCAAUCCAUUUACCCCAGAUACAAGAUUGCUGGAGCCGCUUUUGGAAAAGUAUAAUUUCAGCUCUGGAAAGGAAGUCAAGUUUUAUUUCAUUUUAAUGGUUCAAAAUAGCACAAGCCAGCACAAGGUCCUUUUUCUUUAAACAUAUGAAGGGGGUGAAUGAGUGCAAUAGCACUUGUUGAAAGCUUCACGUGAACUUCGCCAGGAACCCCUCAUGAGCUCACUGCAGAAUGGGAGUCAAAUUCCAUAACAGACACUAACCAGAGGCUGAGCUGAUGUUGGCCGAACGAUGAGGACACCAACAUUGCCAUGCGCACCAACACACAGCUUAAAAACGAUGUACGUGAUGUGAAGGCCUUGUAAAAGCAUGCGGCAGUAAUGGGCUCCAGAUGUCUUAACAAAGGACUGCAACUCCCUGAGGACUCCCCUCUCUGCAAUACGAUCACAAUCAGGUCACUCCGCCGUACAGAGACUUCUGGGAGCGAGAGUGUCCGUGCAGUAUGAACGUGACUCCCUCUUCUCACAGGCACAAGUGUAUGUUCAGAGUUUUGUAUACAUUGUGUAUUACAUUUUUAUCUUCAUGCAUAUGGCAGAUGUUUUUAUCGAAAGAAACGUAUUGCAUUCACACUAUAUUUAUUUUAUCAGUUCAUGCAUUCCAUGGGAAUUGAACAAAUGACUUUGGUGUUGCUUGUACCCUCUGUUUGUGAGCAAUAAUUACAUUUGUACAAAACCAUUAAAAUAAUCAUUGAUGUA